UGUCUAAAUAUUUUAGAACAUAUAAUUUUGUUUUUAACUAUAGCAUGCCUAGUGUGUAUUUGGGUUACACUUGCAUGGUCGAGAGCAGCAAUGGCAAAUGAAGUUCAUAUAAAAAAUAGCUAUCAGGGAGUAAAAGCCUAGUUCAGGUUUAAGAGACAGAGUGGGAAGAUCCAUCAUGAUGUAUGCCCUGGUUGAGAGGCCUAAGUGGCAACUUGCAUGUAUUAGCCAUCACUGAAAGGGUCCGGAAAUUUUGUAGUUUCUUGUUUAAAAUCUCACUUCUGUACUAUUUAACAGAACCAAAAUGUUAUGGGCUAAAUGUGACAAUUUUGUAUUAUACAGUUUGAAUUUUGAGUUCUCUAAUAACAACAAAACAUUUCUACUGUGCUGGGAAGAAGUAAAGAAUUGCUGAGUCAUUGCUGAGUCACUCUUUGAACCCUGUUUGUUGCUAUUAAUAGAGGGAGCCAAGGUUAAUUAUCACCAGAAUGAGGGGAGUGUCAAUCUGUCUGCCAUAGCAUGGUGCUCUGAACAAGCCCAAGUUCAGAAAAGAAAGGAAAACAAAUGUCAAAGUUUACUAGCAUAUGGAGAUUCUGUACUCCAGUCCCUAAGGAGGAGCGUUAUCCAAUCUGUCUUCAGCCCACCUUUGCUGAUUCUGCUCUCCUUCUUAAUGCUCUUUUGGUAAUAACUGAGCUCUUUCAACCAUUUGCCAGUCAGAAAGUCUUCGAAUCCACCUGUGACCUGGAAGCGCCCCUACUUUGAGUUGUUCACCAUUCCGGACUGAACCAAUGUACACCUUACAUGUAUGGAUUGAUCUCUGCCUGUAACUUCUAUCCCUCUAAAAUGUAGAAAAUUAAGCUGUAAACCAGACAUCUUGGGCACAUGGUCUCAGAACAUUCUGGGUCUGUGUCAUGGUCAUGCUCCUCACAUUCGGCUCAGAAUAAAUCUCUUUAAAUAUUUA